rnacentral:lncRNA from 1 species
ACGAAUACCGAGAGAAACCGAGCUGCGUUCUUCGUGUUCUUCGUAAUCAAACGAAGAUUUGAAGGUGUUAUUGGAGUCAGAAUCAAGCGUGCAAAUAGUCAGAUCGAAGAUAUCGAAGAGUAGAACCCAAAUCAAUCAUCAAAAACAACAUGAGAUUCACAGGUAGGGAGUAAUUGAAGUUUUAAAAUUCGAAUUAUUAUGAUUUUAAAUAGUGAAUUCUUGCAAACGUGAUUGUUUGAUUGUUUGGAUGAUUCCAUGUUGUAGAACGUGUUUUUCUCGUCGUUUUGGUAUAUUAUAUGUUGAAUUUCGAGUUCGGAAACAUCUAGAAAAGUGGGUUUGAUUAUUUGGUUGUGUUCUUGGUGUUCUUGAGUUUUUCGCCGGAAAAUAUUGAUUUUUGGCCGGAGAUUGCGUUCUGAUGGUUCUGGGCAGAAACUAAGGGUCUAGGCGUGUACAUAGUGUCCUGGUAGAUCAUUUUGUGGGUUCAAAACGAGUGGAGGAGGCCUGGAAACGCCGCCGGAAUCUGAGAAACUAACGAUGCCGGCGGUCGUUCUUCAAGACUUUCCGGCCACCUCGUUGGUCCUUUCUUGAAACUAAAAGCCUGGUUGAACUCCUAGUGUCGUAUAGCACCAAUCUGGAGGUUCUGGUGAGUCAUGGACGCCGGGAAACGAUCUGCCGGCGAGUUGGUGGGUGGCCGACGGCUAAUUGCCGUUUGGUCACCAGAAUUGUGAAGGUGAUGAAGUGGAGACACCCAGGUUUCAAAAGUUACAUAUCACCCCCUGUAACUUCCUAAAGUUACAGUUUAAACCCUGGUUGAAAACUUUCAAAAGUUUACAAAAUAAACCUUUUCAUUUUAAAAAUGUUUUUAAUUUUCAAAAAUAGUUUUAAUUAUUUCUUUAUUCAAAAAUAAAUCUAAAUUAGUUUGUUAAUUAAUUUUAAUUAGUAAUUAAUUAUUUUAAUUAGUCAAUUAAUUUAAAAAUUAAUUGAUUAAUUAUUUUAAUUAAUUAUUAAUUGAUUUUAAUUGAUUAAUUAAUUGGAUUUAAUUAAUCCUUUUUGAUUUAAAAAUUCCGAAAAAUAGUUUCGAGUUUUGAAAUAUUUUUCUAAAUAAUUUUCAAGGCUCGAUAAUUGUUUAUGAAUGAUUUCAAGUCCAAUUUUGAGUAUUUGGGACUUGAUUAUUUAUUCGAAAAGUGAUUCUUUUAUCGAUUUUAAUUCCGAAAAAUGUUUAAAAAUUUCAGAAAAUUCCCCGAAAAAUCAUUUUGAACUCAAGAUUUGAUUUGACCUCUAUUGGGGUGGGAAACCUUAUGUGUAAUGUGUUGUCUGCUAUUGGUUGGAUGUCUUAUGUGUCGAUAUAAGAUUAUAACGUCUAUUUUAAUAUGAUGUGACUAUAUGGAUGAGUCUAUAAGGUGAAUAAUUGUUGAUAAGUAUGCAUAAUGUGAUAACCUUAUAAAGUCUAUUUUAAUAUGACAUAAUAAUAUGAUUGAGUCAAGAAUGUGAUUAUGUGUUGUUAAAUAUGUAGAAUGUGAUUAUAUGUGAUCUAAUUGCUAUAAAUUGAUGGUUACGUGAAGUACGUGUUUAUGGAUGAUAUUAUAAAUGUGAUGAGUGAUUUGUAUGACAUGGUGUUGUGUCCUGAUUGAUAGGGGAUAAUAAUAUAUGGAUUAUAGGAAUUAGAAUUGGUUGACUGGUUGUUGAUUGAGAAUAGGUUGACAGGGGGAUAGUCUUAUACAUAGACGAAACGAUGUCGGAUUUUCGAUAAGGAUUUAUAUGAUAACUGAUUGGUGAUAUGUUAUGUGGAAUAUGAUUGACUAUAUGUUAGAGUCAAAGCAUGCUUAUGUGUUAAGUGAUAUGUGAUAAGUUUAAAGGGGUAUAUAAGUGGGUAUCGAUAUACGUGAUAUGUAUAUGCGAUAUAUUGUUUAGUGACUAUAGUAUUAUCUUAUUCUCGUAAAGGAUUUGGAGGAGACGUGUACGCUCGAAGACGUCAGAAAGUCGGAAUGGUAUUGCAAAGCGAAUAAGGGAUGAAUCGAGUAAGCGAAGCGAUGUGGCGAAUAGAGUAUAGCUAGAGAUGGUCUAGAGAUUACGAGAUGCAUAGAUUGUGAAAGUGGAGAGAUGAGAUAGAGAUGUGAGACUGGAGUCAGAUUUAAGGCAAGUAUCCUAAACCUUUCUCUUGGAUAUAUUGCAAAUAUUCUGAUCCAUUCCUUUGGUAUAUGUUUCAAGUAUUCAUACCUUUCUUUUCAAUGUUCGAAAGUGCGAGUAUUCUGACCCAUUCUUUCUAAUCUUCAAGUUUCUAAAGAAUUUCCGUUUUACAAAUUAAUUCGAAGUUCAGAUUGUCAUUGAAGCAUGUGUUGCUCAGUGAUAGUUAGAGCUUUGAAUGAAUUGGGAUCUUCUUGAUUAUUCAACCCGCCAUUGUCAUGCUGGUUUAGCAGGCUAAAUUCAGUUGCUUAGCCGAUAAUGGAGGAUACUGAAUAGUUGAGGAUUUCCUGAACUGUGAUUUAUGAAAUGAUGGAUCAUGAUUUAUGAAUAGAUUAUUAUCAAAGUUUGAAUUGGAAUUAUUCUGUUGUUGAUGAUAUUUAUGAUGAUGUUCUGUUAAUUUACAUUGGCUUCUUGAAUUGAAUUAGAGAAUUGGAUUAUUGUUUUUAUAUAAACCUGUGGACCAGAUUCGUGGUCAUGUUAGGCCAAUGAGUGCCUUGGAUCCAGUGAUAGAGCAUGGCGGGGCCUGCUCGGGGUUAGUGCGGAACUGAUCAGCUGCCUAACCUUGGUUUUAAUUAAAAUGUGAUAGUCCAAUUCAAUAAUUCUUUGGAAAGAUUGAAUUUCUCAGUUUAAAUGCUGCAAGGUAUUGUAAAUCAUUCUAUACAAUACCAUGAACUCAUGAACUCAGGUUGAAUCCUCUUAUAUCUUGAACUCGUGAACUUCUGUUAUAUCAUUUCAGAACUAUCAUUGUUUAUUAUUACUUGCUGAGCAUUGUUGCUCACCCUUGCUAUUCCUUUCUAACCAUUUCAGAAAGGCUUAAAGAUGAGAUGAUUGAUUGAGAUUGUGAGUAAGGCUAAUGCUAGGCGAGGAGACAGAGUUGAGGAUCCAGUGGUCGAGGAGUGUUCAGGAAAGUUGAUGAGGUUGGUGCAAGCUGGAAUAGUUGACAGUGAUUCUUCUUAUCGAAGAUGAUCUGAUUUGGUAAGAGAUGUUGUGUAAUA